CAGCUCCGCCUUUACAACCAGACUUCCCCGUGGAGCCUGCCCUCGGCUGUUCCUUCCCAGAGCAGCAUUCACAGUUUUGACAGUGACCUUGAAAGCCUGCGCAAUGCUUUGUUGAAAACCACCAUAGAAUCUCACACCAAAUCCUUGCCCAAAGUACCAGCCAAACUGUCCCCCAUGAAACAGGCACAACUGAGAAACUUCUUGGCCAAGAGGAAGACCCCACCAGUGAGAUCCACUGCUCCAGGUAAAGAGAACCAGUAACUGGGCCUGUAUGUAGUGAUAGGGUGCGGUGGUGGUGGUGGUGGUGGUGGUGGUGGUGUGUGUGUGUGUGUGUGUGUGUGUGUGUGUGUUGGUUCUUAAUAGGGGAUAGAGAAAAUGUGUGUGUGGUGUGUGUGUGUGUGUGUGUGUGUGUUGGUUCUUAAUAGGGGAUAGAGAAAAUGUCUCCAGAAUCUGUUGUUAAUCUGAAUAGUGGAAUAAGAAGCAGCUUAUAUAUACUUGAUGAAGCAGCAAGGUAGUCGUUUUGGCUUUUACACUGUUUUCUGCAGUCCUCACGUUUUAUGGCACUGAUUCACAAGGGUUUGAGAUAGGCUGAGCUGGAUCCUAGCCUCUGCUUUAGCCAGAGAAGAUUUACUUUUCUGAUUUGUGUUGGGUUUUGAGUAAGUUUGCAUCUGGGAAAAAGGCUUUUA
rnacentral:sRNA from 1 species